rnacentral:rRNA from 1 species
AGAACGACUCUCGGCAACGGAUAUCUCGGCUCUCGCAUCGAUGAAGAACGUAGCGAAAUGCGAUACUUGGUGUGAAUUGCAGAAUCCAGUGAACCAUCGAGUCUUUGAACGCAAGUUGCGCCCGAAGCCUUCUGGCCGAGGGCACGUCUGUCUGGGCGUCACGC